ACAGACGGGCAGCCUAUCGCGUGCAUCCAUAUUUUAGUUGUAAGUGGUGCAGGAGGAAAGUCCGGGCAGCAUAGAGCGCUUUGCUUCUUAAUGGGAAGUAGUCCGUGAGGGUUAAAACGUGCAGAAGAAAAUAACCGCCUUAAUUGGUAAGGGUGAGAAGGUGAGGUAAGAGCUCACCAGCCGUGUGGCGACACACGGGCUGUGCACUUCAAAGGCUGAAAGUUCAUGUAAACCAACGAUUGAGGGUUGCUCGCCUGAGUUUUUUUAUCGUUUUUCGAUAAUGAUGCGUUGGAGGGUAGAACGAUACAAUGUGUCAGCAAUGGCGCAUGCGGAUAAAUGAUAGGCAGUAGUUUAUUCUUUAAGCUACUACAGAACCCGGCUUAUCGCUCGUCUGUUUUU
rnacentral:RNase_P_RNA from 1 species